AAUCAACGCUGGCGGCGUGCCUAACACAUGCAAGUCGAGCGCGAAAGCGGGGCAACUCGCGAGUAGAGCGGCGAACGGGUGAGUAACGCGUGGGUGAUCUUCCUUCGAGUGGGGAACAACAUCGGGAAACUGGUGCUAAUUCCGCAUAACACCCUGGGGCUACGAGCCUCAGGAUCAAAGCCGGGGACCGCAAGGCCUGGCGCUUGAAGACGAGCCCGCGUCCGAUUAGCUAGUUGGCGGGGUAAUGGCCCACCAAGGCUUCGAUCGGUAGCCGGCCUGAGAGGGCGGACGGCCACACUGGAACUGAGACACGGUCCAGACUCCUACGGGAGGCAGCAGUGGGGAAUUUUUCGCAAUGGGCGAAAGCCUGACGAAGCAACGCCGCGUGGAGGAUGAAGGUCUUCGGAUUGUAAACUCCUGUCGACCGGGACGAAUGCACCCGACCUAAUACGUCGGAGUGUUGACGGUACCGGUGGAGGAAGCCACGGCUAACUCUGUGCCAGCAGCCGCCGUAA
rnacentral:rRNA from 1 species